rnacentral:lncRNA from 1 species
AUGAAGGGAGGUGCAGUCCAGAGGCAGCAGAUUCACAGCCUGUGUGUUUUGGACUCCCCGUGUGCAGUGCUCAAGGAAUAUAGCUCUGUAUUUCCUUUUGGGAUUUCUCAAACAUUCUUCUUAUCUGUCACGUAUGGGAGCAACCAAAUUCAGUUCAAAAUCCUGAACAGAAGCAGGAAUGACAACAUUACUGGAAAAACUGUUUUUAGCUGGCAAACAAACCUCCUACAGAUAUACUGUAUCCACAGCACGUAAUUCCUAGUAAUACGAAUCAUGCAACAGCAUGGUCCAACAGCAAGUUAAUAUUUCCACAAGGCCACCCUACUCCUAGGAAAUAGGUAACUAUGCAAAUCAAUAUGCACUUAAAUGAAAUCAAUAAACAAGAAGGGUCAGAAAAUCA